AACUGAAUCCAUAGGUUAAUGAGGCGAACCGGGGGAACUGAAACAUCUAAGUACCCCGAGGAAAAGAAAUCAACCGAGAUUCCCCCAGUAGCGGCGAGCGAACGGGGAGGAGCCCAGAGCCUGAAUCAGUGUGUGUGUUAGUGGAAGCGUCUGGAAAGGCGCGCGAUACAGGGUGACAGCCCCGUACACAAAAAUGCACAUACUGUGAGCUCGAUGAGUAGGGCGGGACACGUGGUAUCCUGUCUGAAUAUGGGGGGACCAUCCUCCAAGGCUAAAUACUCCUGACUGACCGAUAGUGAACCAGUACCGUGAGGGAAAGGCGAAAAGAACCCCGGCGAGGGGAGUGAAAAAGAACCUGAAACCGUGUACGUACAAGCAGUGGGAGCCUCUUAAUGGGGUGACUGCGUACCUUUUGUAUAAUGGGUCAGCGACUUAUAUUCUGUAGCAAGGUUAACCGAAUAGGGGAGCCGAAGGGAAACCGAGUCUUAACUGGGCGUUAAGUUGCAGGGUAUAGACCCGAAACCCGGUGAUCUAGCCAUGGGCAGGUUGAAGGUUGGGUAACACUAACUGGAGGACCGAACCGACUAAUGUUGAAAAAUUAGCGGAUGACUUGUGGCUGGGGGUGAAAGGCCAAUCAAACCGGGAGAUAGCUGGUUCUCCCCGAAAGCUAUUUAGGUAGCGCCUCGUGAAUUCAUCUCCGGGGGUAGAGCACUGUUUCGGCAAGGGGGUCAUCCCGACUUACCAACCCGAUGCAAACUGCGAAUACCGGAGAAUGUUAUCACGGGAGACACACGGCGGGUGCUAACGUCCGUCGUGAAGAGGGAAACAACCCAGACCGCCAGCUAAGGUCCCAAAGUCAUGGUUAAGUGGGAAACGAUGUGGGAAGGCCCAGACAGCCAGGAUGUUGGCUUAGAAGCAGCCAUCAUUUAAAGAAAGCGUAAUAGCUCACUGGUCGAGUCGGCCUGCGCGGAAGAUGUAACGGGGCUAAACCAUGCACCGAAGCUGCGGCAGCGACACUAUGUGUUGUUGGGUAGGGGAGCGUUCUGUAAGCCUGUGAAGGUGUACUGUGAGGU
rnacentral:rRNA from 1 species